rnacentral:rRNA from 1 species
GAUGAACGCUGGCGGCGUGCCUAGUACAUGCAAGUCGAGCGAACAGACGAGGAGCUUGCUCCUCUGACGUUAGCGGCGGACGGGUGAGUAACACGUGGAUAACCUACCUAUAAGACUGGGAUAACUUCGGGAAACCGGAGCUAAUACCGGAUAAUAUAUUGAACCGCAUGGUUCAAUAGUGAAAGACGGUUUUGCUGUCACUUAUAGAUGGAUCCGCGCCGCAUUAGCUAGUUGGUAAGGUAACGGCUUACCAAGGCAACGAUGCGUAGCCGACCUGAGAGGGUGAUCGGCCACACUGGAACUGAGACACGGUCCAGACUCCUACGGGAGGCAGCAGUAGGGAAUCUUCCGCAAUGGGCGAAAGCCUGACGGAGCAACGCCGCGUAAGUGAUGAAGGUCUUCGGAUCGUAAAACUCUGUUAUUAGGGAAGAACAAAUGUGUAAGUAACUAUGCACGUCUUGACGGUACCUAAUCAGAAAGCCACGGCUAACUACGUG